rnacentral:rRNA from 1 species
AGCAGCCGCGGUAAUUCCAGCUCCAAUAGCGUAUAUUAAAGUUGCUGCAGUUAAAAAGCUCGUAGUUGAAUUUCGGGGUUAGUAGGUUGGUCAUGCCUCUGGUAUGUACUGGUCUCACUGAUUCCUCCUUCCUGAUGAACCUUAAUGCCAUUAAUUUGGUGUUUUGGGGAAUUUGGACUGUUACUUUGAAAAAAUUAGAGUGUUUAAAGCAAGCUAACGCUUGAAUACAUUAGCAUGGAAUAAUGAAAUAGGACGUUCGAUCCUAUUUUGUUGGUUUCUAGGAUUGACGUAAUGAUUAAUAGGGAUAGUUGGGGGCAUUAGUAUUCAAUUGUCAGAGGUGAAAUUCUUGGAUUUAUUGAAGACUAACUACUGCGAAAGCAUUUGCCAAGGAUGUUUUCAUUAAUCAAGAACGAAAGUUAGGGGACCGAAGACGAUCAGACACCGUCGUAGUCUUAACCAUAAACUAUGCCGACUAGGGAUCGGAUGAUGUUAAUUUUUUAAUGACUCAUUCGGCGCCUUACG